UGUAAGGACGCUUACGUCGGGAGUGACUGAAUAAACUUACUGGCAUAUAGCUGGUUAAGGUGAUGAGAUACAGGUGGUGCUGCUUCUAGGGAACUAGAAGAAUCGACUUACCAGUCGGAUCUCAGGCAGAGAUGAUUUUCUAACUGUAGAAAUGCCCAUCUCUUGUUGGUACACAGGAGUCCAACCUCCCUCUUU
rnacentral:ncRNA from 1 species